GAAAGAAGGGGAAUUAAACCCCUCUUCACAGGGCUACAACCUGCCGCCUGCACACUCGGCCAUCUUACCUG
rnacentral:tRNA from 1 species